rnacentral:lncRNA from 1 species
ACACUAGAGAUAGUGUGAGGUAAAGAACCAAUGUAAUGUAAAGAAUGCUGAAAAUGAUAAUGCUUAAAGUUAACGCAAUGUGGGAAGUAAAGAACGUGAAAUGCUAGAGGUAGCCAAAAGUAAAGAAUGUAAAGAAUAUAAUUGCUAGAGUUAGCAAAAGUAAAGGACAAUGUAAAGAAUGUGAUUGCAUGAGUUUGCAACAUAAAGUGAUAUAAUGAACACUAGAGCUAGUGUAAAGUCAAGAUU